rnacentral:rRNA from 1 species
GGGAUCAUUACCGAGUUUACAACUCCCAAACCCAAUGUGAACCAUACCAAACUGUUGCCUCGGCGGGGUCACGCCCCGGGUGCGUCGCAGCCCCGGAACCAGGCGCCCGCCGGAGGGACCAACCAAACUCUUUCUGUAGUCCCCUCGCGGACGUUAUUUCUUACAGCUCUGAGCAAAAAUUCAAAAUGAAUCAAAACUUUCAACAACGGAUCUCUUGGUUCUGGCAUCGAUGAAGAACGCAGCGAAAUGCGAUAAGUAAUGUGAAUUGCAGAAUUCAGUGAAUCAUCGAAUCUUUGAACGCACAUUGCGCCCGCCAGUAUUCUGGCGGGCAUGCCUGUCCGAGCGUCAUUUCAACCCUCGAACCCCUCCGGGGGGUCGGCGUUGGGGAUCGGGAACCCCUAAGACGGGAUCCCGGCCCCGAAAUACAGUGGCGGUCUCGCCGCAGCCUCUCCUGCGCAGUAGUUUGCACAACUCGCACCGGGAGCGCGGCGCGUCCACGUCCGUAAAACACCCAACUUCUGAAAUGUUGACCUCGGAUCAGGUAGGAAUACCCGCUGAACUUAAGCAUAUCAUAAGCGCGGGAGGAAACUUAUGUGUUAUCUUCAGCACUGAGGGUGGAACCCGCCCA